rnacentral:rRNA from 1 species
AGUGAACGCUGGCGGCAGGCCUAAUACAUGCAAGUCGAACGGCAGUACAGUAAGAGCUUGCUCUUACGGGUGGCGAGUGGCGGACGGGUGAGGAAUACAUCGGAAUCUACUUUUUCGUGGGGGAUAACGUAGGGAAACUUACGCUAAUACCGCAUACGACCUACGGGUGAAUGCAGGGGAUCUUCGGACUUUGCGCGACUGUAUGAGCUGACGUCGGAUUAGCUAGUUGGCGGGGUAAAGGCCCACCAAGGCAACGAUGCGGAGCAGGCCUGAGAGGAUGAUGGGCCACAAGGGAACUGAGACACGGUCCAGACUCCUACGGGAGGCAGCAGUAGGGAAUAUGCGGCAAUGGACGAAAGUGUGACGGAGCAACGCCGCGUGAGUGAAGAAGGUCUUCGGAUCGUAAAACUCUGUUGUUAGAGAAGAAAAAGGACGUAAGUAAAUGAGCGUGGCCUGACGGUACCUAAACAGAAAGCAACGGCUAACUACGUG